CAGCCCAGGCGUUUCCGGGUUCCCGCGGUCCCGUCCCCCAAAUGCUCCGGCUUCCGCCUCGGCUCUGGCAAAUGCCGUUCCCGGCUCGGCUCUGGCAGCCCCAGCUCGGCACUUGGCAGCUCCGUCCCUAAGGCGACGCGCCUGGGCUGCUCUGCUGGCAGCCCCUGGUUCCUGCUUCACCGUCGCGUGGAGGCCUGGGGCACUGCUUUCUGCUACACCUCUCUUAGGAGCGCGAGACAGAUAGAGUGACACUCGUCGAGGGCCUCUGCGGGACUGUUUGCAGAAGGUGCCAAGGUGUCCACUGCGAAAGAAAGGGCAAAGUCCUUUGGGGCAAAGAACCCUGAGAGGAACGGGGAAAUGGAUUUUGAAAGCAAACGAACCCGCUCCUAAAAGUGACUGUCACUGACCUGAAAACAAACCAGAUUAGCUAUGGCAAAGGCUGCCAAUCAACCAGUGGUCUGCAAGAAGGCUUGUUCUUCCACUUCUCCCACCCUGACUGAGAUCUUGAGACUGAGGGAAACCCAGAGCUAUACCACCAAUGGGCCUGGUGUCAUCAAUCAGGAGAGGAAAAAGAAAGCUGGGCCCAGAGGAUUACAGAGUUAUAAGGGACCUACCCCUUCCUGGCUGCAUGGAUUACAGCAUUACCUUUUAAAAGUCUUCCAAUGGCUGUGUUGGAAACCCUCUAACCACUGCAGCCCAUUCAGCCGUGUAAGAAAUACCUUUCACCUCCCGCCAUGAUUCUGAGGCCUCCCCAGCCAUGUGGAAACUGUAGCUCCAAUUAAACCUCUUUUUCUUUCCA